CCAAUGCAAAGGGAAUGUUUUAGCACCGUGUUGUCUCAGUCCAAGAACUGAAAUUACCGAGUAUUUUUAGUAGGUAUUUUGCACCACAAGUAGCCCAUUAGAAGUCGGGCAUUUGCAAUAUACCAAGAAUAACUGUUAAAGGAACAAGACUUGAGCCUAUUCUUGGAGGGAAUGAAACACACCAUCUGUGGCAUAUCCUGUUUAUGUCUGCUGCUCCUCUGCAGACUGCAAACUGUUGUCUGUGUCAAUGCGGAGCUUCUCCGCUUGAUGAACUUCAGGUGUACUGGAAGAAUGAUUGCAAAUUGAAAUGGCUUUGUAACGAGGCCCGAGUUAGCAACAAAACCAAACAGGAAUAUUCAUUUUCCUGAAAUUAUCAGAGAGAGCAACACUUGGAGAGAACAUUCAUCAUUAUGUCAGCAAGAAGCAAACAGAACCAUUGAAUAAGAGCCUGAACCAACCUAAUAUCAAGCUCCUUGGCUGCUGGCUCACCUAGUUUUGUUGCGAUGAGCCCUUGGUUUGUGUCACAUAUCCAAGAGUGAUAGGAGAAGCAGCGUGAAACCUCCAGGCAAUCAUCACACAGGAACUAUUUCUGCUGCCAAUUUGAACCCCAUCUUUAUUUGUCUUCUAAAUUAUAACUCCUUGUUCGUACUCCUUUAGAGAAUCACAGAGCUGUGCAUGCAGCUGGCUUAAAAGCUUUGCCUGCCCUAGAAGUCACACACAGGCAUUUCCAAAAGCAGCAGGCUUCAAACAGCUCGAAGCCUUCUCAUUGCGUGCGGUGCCACAAAAGCAUUAUGGUAAUUCUGAGCAUUGAACCAUUUAAAAUCUAUUUUAAUUGAUUCCCGGCUACUUCGUGAUUCCAGCGUGUUAUUGAAUCAGUGGUAGAUAAAAGUAGCAGGAGGUAACAUCUUUUGUGUUGCUGCAGGGAGAUCACACCUAAAAUAAGGCAUUAAAUUCUGGGUACCUCAUUGCCAAAGAGAUGCAGAGAAAUUGGGAGAAAUUCAUAGAAGAGCAAUAAAAAUGAUUAAGGGUCUGAAGAGGCUGAGUUAUGAGUGAAGAUUAAAGGAACUUAAUAUAUAUUGCUUGGCUAAAUGAUGACUAAGAGGGAGAUGAUACCCUUCGACAAGUACUUGGAGGGCAUAAAUAUCACACAUAAAAAAGGAAUAAUUUAGCGCGCUGAAGGACAUACAACUUGGGAUAAAAGCAUGGUGUAGGGGGUGAAAGGAUGGCGUUAGGGAAAAGGAAACGGGCUGUCCACAUGCAUCAUUAAAAUA